GGCGGCGUAGCUCAGUUGGCAGAGCAAACGGCUCAUAUCCGUUCUGUCGUAGGUUCAAUCCCUACCGCCGCUA
rnacentral:tRNA from 2 species